GGGGGAGGGAGUACGAGUGUAUGCCUGUGUGUGCCACUCUGCAAGCUCAGGUUUAGCCAUUUGCGUACAGACUAUAGCAGCAUUAUAAUUUUUAAUUGCAAUUUCAUUUGAUAUUCUCUCCCUUUCCCCCACCCUUUUCCCUCUCUCUGUAUAAUCUGGAUCAUUGCUCUCUGUAGCUGAUUCCGUGGGAGACCAAGCAGAGUGCGUGGGUGCAGAAUAUAGAAAGCCAGAGCCAUAGAAUCUGUUAUUUGCGUCAUUCUAGGAGACGGGGCUGUUUGCCUGACAAAUAUACAGAAUUAAUCCUGGUUUUAUCAAUAUCUGUCUUUUGCUACAGUAGCCAAAUACAAGUGUAAGGUGGUAGGGGGACUUGCUGCUGCUGUUGUUGGUCUCUUGUGGGGAGGGGGUGACAGGGGAAAAGAGGAGGUAAGGAUGCUAAAAUGUAUUCAGCUCCCCCGUGCUGUUUGCCUUACAAAUAUUCAGAAAACAGACUUAUGUUUCCAAAUUUCUUUUUGUUAAAAUGGGUAACCACGAGAAGGGAGAUGGGGGGCGGGGUGGGGGCGCGGGGGUAAUGUUCUUGCAAGGUCUGGCUAUGCAGAUUGCUCUCCCUGCCUGUGCUUCUGCAUGGGAUAUGUGUGUGUUUUUUAAGAAAUAUCUCCCUGUCCUCAUCGCAUACUCCACCCCCCACCCCCCCGACCCCAAACACAUAUAUGAACACCCCUCAGGAUUUUUGUGCAACUGUGCAGAGAGCUGCACUACACAAAAUAUGGGGCUUGCUAAUUAACUCUUUUCCUCGAAUUGAAGUGCCUUACUGCAAGCACAAAGCUCCAAGCACAGACAUCUUUUAUGAUGAACUAGAGCCUCUGAAGAGGAGAAUCUGAACGUGACGUCAAUAGCUGAUAACUGACGCAGCCUUGCAAAGGAGUCUCAGGCUGGCUCCUUGCAGCCUGCAAGCCCUAAUGAUUCUAUUUUUUCCCCAGUCCCCCCUCGUAGUGAAUUACUAGAACGCAAACACACACACCCCUUUUUUUCAUAUAUGUAUUUAUAGAUCCUUUAUUCUCCAAACAAAGGAUUUUUAAGGGGGGGAAAGGCACUGGGUGGGGAGGGGAGAAUUUUAUAAAAAAACAACCUUUCUUCGUGCUGGGUGCAAUUCAGUACAUGAAACCACCUCUGUCUCUCGGCAAAGCAAGCAUCCCUGCCUGAAAUCCACAUUUGUGCAUGAUGGCAAACUGGUGCAUGGUGGUUGUGUUUUUUCCAAAGCCCACUUUAUAAAGACUCCGGAGGAAGGCAGACACAAUAAUGAUUGCAAGGCAACAGGCAGAGAGGCACAGAGACAGACUCAAUACAACUGUGGAUUAGGGGUUUGUGCAAUAGGACAGCAUGGAAGGCGGUCAGUUUGGGUCGUUUGGUGUGGGGUUUGUUUGUUUGUUUUUGUUGUGUGGUGUUUUUUUUUUCUCUGCAAUGAUACACCUAAAGCAAAUGUGGAUGAUGUUGCAGAAAGAAGCUGGGGUAGGGGGGUGCGUGGUUGGGGGUUUUGUGUUGUAGGGGGGCAGGCUUAAUGCACAUUUAAUGUUUUGGAUGUAGCGUUCCAGCGAAAUGCCUUUGUGUGUGGAUUUUUUUCCCCAGUACCUGCUAAAAAUAGCAUCAGGGUUUUGAUCGCGUUCCAGAAAUAGACAGAGGGUUGCACUUGUAUAAAAAGCGAGCGCGGGUGGAAGAAAACCUGGACAUCACCGCAGUAUUUUUUUUCCAACUCCUGUCUGGAAAUUAAUUGUUGGAUUCCCCCCCUCCCCUUCCUCGCCCCUCCUCCCCUCCCUCCCCUAACCGAGGAGUUCCCGUUUGGGUGCAGACACGCCGUCGAGGCCGGAGGCGCCGUGGGAGCAGCGGUGGACGCAGGCAGGUACCAUUUUUUCUGCAGAUUCCUCAGGACAGGUUUCUUCUGCAAGUCCUUUCAGAGGAGAUCUACUAGUGAAAUGUCCAUGAUAACAGGUUGAAAAGGAUGAUAACAUAAAAUGGCAAGGACUAUGUGGAACCAAACAGCAACAACUGGCUGCCUUCUGCAGAAAACCCCUGCACUGCUCAAGCAUCCCCACUCUAUUUCUCCCUUUUCCUUAUGCCCCUAAGGGAGCCCGUCACAGCCCCUGUUCUGGACAGAAGGACAGACAUCCAAGGGAAACGAGCAUCAUUUCUCAGCUUGGCCGCCUUCCAUGUGAUGGAGCAAUGUAGCCGAGUUGUGGGUUGACUUAGGCUUGCAUCACCACCCUGACGCAGGUUGCAUCUGCAGUCAUCUGGAACUGACUACAUGCCUGAACUGAUAAAAGAUGCUGUGGAAAUAUGGAUCUCUGGGGCCUUGGCAAGGUGCUUAUGCCAUAUCCUCUCUUUUAUUGCCUGGUCCUCUGGAGGACGAAAGAGUGAGAAUCAGCAGUGUGUCAUUUAUCCUGCAAACAGUUUGAGAACUGCCUUGACAGCCAGUGGAAGAAAAUAGUGUGAUGUGGUCACAGCAAGCGCAUGUUCUUUCUAACAAUUUACAAUUGCACUAUGAUCCCAGUGAGAGUGAUACUCAAACCUCCCUCUGAUUACCUCUCUUCUUUUCUCUUGUGGUAACAACAUUGUUUCUUUCCAACACAGGAGUGUUUAUGCAGAAAUGCCAAGAUUCUCCAUGCAGAUUAAAGUAGGUUUACAAAUUAAGGAAAAGCUGGUAUGGAACAGGAAGAAAACAAUCCCAGCAUUUUGCACUUACUUGUAAUCAAAAUCCUGUCUUUGGAAUGUGUUAUGUCAGAAAUACACUAGGUGAGGCCUAUGAGGAUUUUCCUUGUGUAACAGCAAGAGUUAGCCCUAGCAUAUCACACUAUUCUAAAAAUGGUGUCCAGUAAGCAAUAGGUGGCCUCUCUUGGAAAAAAAUCAGGAAAAAAGUUGGUGAGAGCUGGAUCCUCUGCAGUGUCACUUUCACAGCUGAGUGAGUGACAAACAAAAGCAAAAAAACACCCCAAAAACCAAAACCCAGUGGGCUAAAUCACCAUGAGGAUGGAUUCCCCCUGUUGUGGAACUGAACAAAAUCCAGGGACGUUCCCUCCUAAUAGGUCAGAUAUAAGUGCUGUAUGGUAAAGAUUAAUUUCUAAAAGUCAGCUGUAAACCUACAGGUCAGCCAAUAAGACAGGGACUUGACCCAUUUUUCAUUGCGAAGUGUAUGAUAGUUUCAUGCCUUUAAUCAAUGUCACUGCAGACAGUAUGUUGUUGAAUCCAAUGGAAUUGUAAUCCUGCUAUGAAUUUAAUUGUUUUCCACAAGUAGAACAGAAGCCUUUGAUUUCUAUUAAUUAUGUAUCUGUGUGAAAAGCUAUUUUGUGUGCAUAUAUAUUUAAUAACAGGAAAUGUAAGAAACAUUUAUUUAUAUUAAACUAAUAAAAGGAAUAGACCUAUCAAAGCA